UUUCCACUGCAGGUUAUUACAAGGUAUUGAAUGUGGUUCCCUGUGCUGGACAGAAAAAAUUUGUUUUUAACCUGUUUUUAUAUAUAGUGGUACUCAGGAGCCCCCUUUCCUGCUCUGGGUUGUGAUGCCAUUUGGGGCAAAUAAAAAAAAGGAUUUUCUGAACAACAAUGUCAGGUGGCAGGGUGCAGAGACGCCCGUGAGGUUGUGUGCGCAGCAGAUGGGGAGGGCCCCACCCCACCAUCAUCUACAUGGUCACAGAGCAGCAGCCACAACACCCUCGCCACUGCAGACUGGCCCACAGGAGGGACCCGACCCAAGCCAGGGUUUCGUAAAUCGAGCCAAGAGAGCGAUGGCUGGGACACAGAGCUCGGACGCCACAGAGCAGAGUGAGCGCCCGGCUGGUGGCCGUGCCUCCCCAGGCUGCCAGCCAGCGCGCCCUGGCUGGAGUCUGGGAACUCGGGUUUCGGGAGGGCUCCUUCCCACCGUUCCUGGAGCCAAUGACAGGGGCUCACUCUGCCUGAACAGUUGGCCCAAAUCCUGUGGUUUGGGUGCAACACCUGCUUCCCUGCUGGGAGCCUGGGAUUUGGGUUCGGGCCAGGCCAAGGGCACCGCCAGGACCAGCCCCCAGAAAACACCCUGGGCGCCGCAUCUCCCGCAAGCUUCCCAGUGGCCAGCACUCCCCCGCGUCCCCGCCCGGGGAGGACUCUCGGAAGCCCGCACCCGGUCCCCCGUGGGCUCUUCCCUUGCUGAUCCUGCUUUGCAUCCUUCCCCUGGGAUAAAUGUGUGCCCCACUGUGAGCGUGACUCUGGGCCUAGGCUGGGCAUCCUCUGAGCAAUCACUGAACCUGAGACGGAGGUGGUCGGGAGACCCUGAUGCGGCCAGCUGACCAGGAGGCAAGUGGAAGGGACAGAGAAUUUGAGAGCGCGGGAGACGACGGGAUAGUAAGGCUGACGUGACCCCACUGUUCCCUGAGUUCAGAUGCGUCUCAAGGCUCUGCAGCACCCUGUCAGAGGCCCUCGGUUUCUGGGGGACAUUAAAGUCCUUAGGACAGAUUUCUCCUCUUUUUCAGUUGGUUCCAGUUGGGCUGUUGCUUGAGUUCUAGCUCAGAC
rnacentral:lncRNA from 1 species